UUAGCUCAUAUUUGUAUGGAAUGGGAUCGUUUGACUACGUGUGCCGCUAGGGGCGCUGUUCCAACUGCAUACAAAUUUGAGUUA
rnacentral:pre_miRNA from 1 species